AUAAGUGAUCUCUUAUUCUUCUUUUUGGUGUCUACUCGUUGGAUUCCAUUUUUCUGUUUUGAGACUAAACUUGUUUAAAACAUUUUGUAAAGCAUAGUUUCUAUAGUUGUGCAGUUUUUUCUGUUUUAGGCUAAAGUUGUUUAAAGCAUAGUUUCUAUUUGUGCAAUUCAGUGUGUGUUAUUAUGAUGAACCACAAAUUCAUGGAAUUUCAAUCAAAAAGAAGAAGAAAAAAAAACAAAAUUAAUACUCAAAGAAGCACAGCACGCACGGUUUCACGUUUUUGCUUUCUCUUUCUC
rnacentral:lncRNA from 1 species